AACACAUCCUCAAUUCGCAUGUAUUUUCCAGUGAAGAAUUCCCUUUACCUGUUGAACAAGAUGAGGGCCCAAAAUCUUCUCUUAGCAAUCGUAGCAAUAAUUUUUGUUCUAACCAUUAAACCCUACGAAGCUGCAAGAAUUCUUGAUAAAGAACAACAAGAAUUGAUGAAAAUGGGACAUCUAGUGUUACCAUCCUUGAAGACCGUUAACCCGCCUUCGCCAAAUGGAUGCACGUGGGUGGGUGGCAGUGGUGGCAGGCAUUGCCAGAGCUCUAUAAGCGAGAAGAAUUUUGCAGGGCGUAGUGUGGCGGCGCCUCCACCACCACCAUCACUUGGAGCCAAUGAUGCCUAUCCCGAGCAAAUGGUUCAGUUUGGAAUGGCUACUAAUAGUAAAUAAAGAUGCUUUAUUACCAAUAUAGAAGUGACAAUAUUUAUAUUAACAGUGGACUGUACCAUAAUAAAGAAGCAAUCAAGCAAACUGAUUUUUUAUUUUUUUUAUUUUUUUUAGAUAAGGUUAAGGAAUCAAUACCCUUUCUUGUUUCAUUCUUCUGAAAUAAUUUUGUAAGUUCGGUGUAUUUUCAUGUAUUCAAUUUUACAAACUGAACAAUGAAUGAAAAGAAAUUUAAAAUAUGUUUUUCUAA
rnacentral:lncRNA from 1 species